AUCCAACUGACGAGUCCCAAAUAGGAUUAAACGCGCAUCCUGGAU
rnacentral:hammerhead_ribozyme from 1 species